ensembl:snoRNA
AGCAUCUGUGUAUUUUUUUUUUUUAACUUGUGGAUGAAGACUUAGAGAAAGGUGCAAAAACUAAAUCCUCUUUCACAUCCCACAUCCCAUUAUUUAGAAUGAGUUUUGAUUCAUAUAAAAAGGAAUAUU